rnacentral:rRNA from 1 species
AUUGAACGCUGGCGGCAUGCCUUACACAUGCAAGUCGAACGGCAGCACGGGUGAUUGCUCCUGGUGGCGAGUGGCGAACGGGUGAGUAAUACAUCGGAACAUGUCCUGUUGUGGGGGAUAGCCCGGCGAAAGCCGGAUUAAUACCGCAUACGAUCCACGGAUGAAAGCGGGGGACCUUCGGGCCUCGCGCUAUAGGGUUGGCCGAUGGCUGAUUAGCUAGUUGGUGGGGUAAAGGCCUACCAAGGCGACGAUCAGUAGCUGGUCUGAGAGGACGACCAGCCACACUGGGACUGAGACACGGCCCAGACUCCUACGGGAGGCAGCCGUGUGGAAUUUUGGACAAUGGGGGAAAGCCUGAUCCAGCAAUGCCGCGUGUGUGAAGAAGGCCUUCGGGUUUUAAAGCACUUUUGUCCGGAAGGAAAUCCUUGACUCUAAUACAGUCGGGGGAUGACGGUACCGGAAGAAUAAGCACCGGCUAACUACGUG